rnacentral:rRNA from 1 species
UACGUAGGGUGCAAGCGUUGUCCGGAAUUAUUGGGCGUAAAGAGCUCGUAGGCGGUUUGUCGCGUCGGCCGUGAAAACCUGGGGCUUAACUCCGGGCCUGCAGCCGAUACGGGCAGACUAGAGUUCGGCAGGGGAGACUGGAAUUCCUGGUGUAGCGGUGAAAUGCGCAGAUAUCAGGAGGAACACCGGUGGCGAAGGCGGGUCUCUGGGCCGAUACUGACGCUGAGGAGCGAAAGCGUGGGGAGCAAACAGG